CGCCGGUUUUAGAUAGACUUGGCGGCCUUACGAGGAUCUGCCUCGAAGCUGGCUACCAUGUGCGCUUGGGGGUUAGGGCUUGUAGUUCAGUUGGUUAGAGCGCGCGCUUGAUAAGCGUGAGGUCGGAGGUUCAAGUCCUCCCAGGCCCACCAUUCUUCGACAAGGCGCCCUAAGACAGGGGUAACUUCGAAGAGGUGUUAUCAAGGGGCCGUAGCUCAGCUGGGAGAGCGCCUGCUUUGCAAGCAGGAUGUCGUCGGUUCGAUCCCGUCCGGCUCCACCAUCUCCGCGCAAUCCGCAGGAUUGUCGCUGCGCAAUCCGCAGGAUUGUCGCUUCUUCUCCGGGAGAAAAAGGGUGUCGAGUGGAUGUGAAGCGGGCCGAGAAAAAGUCAUUCGUUCAAGAGUUUGCGGCGAGCCUUCUGGCUCUCCGCCUGUUCUGUUUGACAUCGUAAAGAGAAGAUUUGUUCGAACUUCAUGAUCCGAAAGGCUCAUGAUUUGUCGCGGGAGACGCUCAAUCUCCCGCCUAUGAUGGGUUUGCCUAACCGCACCCUCGAACCGAUCUCGAGAAGCUGGUCUUUUUGUGCCAAUGCCAUCAAGCCAAGUCCUGCACAGGAUUUGGCUGACGCGACGAUCUCUUCGAGAUCGCGCUGGGCGACGAUCCCUUUGGGAUCGCGCGGUGGGUAUUGGCAAUGAGAACGAUCAAGUGUCUUAAGGGCAAUUGGUGGAUGCCUUGGCAUGCACAGGCGAUGAAGGACGUGAUACGCUGCGAUAAGCUACGGGGAGGUGCGAAUACAUAUAUGG
rnacentral:misc_RNA from 1 species